GUUAUUUAAGUAGCAAUCAAACUAAGCGAACUCCUUGAUUUGGAUACAGUUAUGACAAUUCACUGACCUUAAAUUGCCUAAUUUAAAUGAUCAUGUUAUUGAAUUCAUGCCUGUAGCCUACCAGUCCAAGUCUUUGCAUUACAAGCAGGACAGAAACAUCAUCUGACUAUGCUUCUGAUAUUUCACUGACUGCACAUCAGAUUAAGCUCCAGUUUAAUAUCAUGCAGGCUACAAUGUAAUUUUAGAUAGCUAUUUGGUAUAAUUAAAUGUCAUCCUUAAUUCUGUGGCAACACUCCACCCCCAUGGUUUCAUGAUUCACCAUGGAAAUCUGAGCUUGAUAUUUUUUGUAUCAGGGGAGGGUUGGGGAUGUAGAGAACAUCUUCUGUCUUACAGUGUUAAAUUCCCUUUGGCUCAUGUAAACUGAUUCAUAUUCAAAGGAAAACCUGAAGUUGCUGAUAGAAGCAUUAGCAGCUCAACCUCUUGUAAAAAAGUGUGUCUAUUUGUCCACUCCAAACUUCAUACAAGCUGGUCUACCAUGGAGAGCAUUUUAACUGGUUGGAUCACUGUCUGAUAUGGAGAGGCCACUGCACAGGAUCAGAAAAAGCUGCAGAAAGAUGUAAACUCAGACAGCUCCAUCAUGGGAAGUAGCCACGCAGCAUUGAAGACACUUUCAAAAGGCAAUGCCUCAAGAGCAAAUGUCAAGUCUGAAACAGAACCUACUCUGAUCAUCUUAACACUGAAAACAGUAGCAGUCUCGUUCUUCGAGAUCCAGAACUCAUCCAUUAUGGGAACUCUACAACAGGGACUAUAAGAGUUGAAGUGGAAUUCUACUGACACCAUUUCAAGACAACAUAACAGGUUAUCAAUGACAGGACUGUGGUAAUCAAGACUGAAGAGUGCAAGUAUGUCUCCGCAGAGAACAUCAAAUCUGCCCCAGCAGGAUGAGACAGGCUCAAGCUCCAAGAAGAAAUGUUGCUUUGGCUAUAUUUUACUUUUAAUAUUUGUGCUUAUAAUAACGUUGUUCAGUGAUGCUUUACUUCCCAGAUCCAAUUCAGCACAACAAAACACAAAAGUUAAGAACAGUAAUAAAAAGUACACUUAUCAAUAUCUAAGACAGCUGAAUUGAUUGAUUGAGUGUCCAUAAAGUGACGCUAUGCUGUAUAAGAAAUAAUAAAGUCGUGGUGGAGUUAGUAUAGUUUGUUUGUUUUUAGUCUGGUGUUCUGGAGCUUCCUUCCUGGCCCUUUUCCAGCACCUUUCAGUCAUGGCCUUGAUGGUGAGUAGGCUGGUGCCGGCAAUGCAUUGGACAGUUUUCACUACCAGUUGCAGAGCCUUCCUGUCUACUGUAGUGCACUUUCUGUACCAAGCAACGAUGUAGCUAGUCAGAACGCUCUCUACUGCAUAGCUGUAGAACGAUGCCAAGUAUGGAUGUACGAAGUCCAGCUCUUUUCAGCCACCUCAGAAAGUAGAGCCACUGGUGAACUUUCUUGACUGUAUAGGAUAUGUCCUAGAGCCAAGAGAGGUUGUGUGUUAUAUGCACUCCCAGGAGUUUAAAAGUACUUGUAGUUUCCACCGAUGUGAAGUGAGGUGUGGGUGCUGCGAGUUCUCCUGAAGUUGAUAAUCAUCUCCCUUGUCUUGUUGAGGUUAUUUGCCCAGCACCAGGCCUUCACCUCUUCCACCUUCUCUCUGUAGGCCACCUCAUCAGGAUCUGCAAGUAAUGAUGAUUCUAAUUUAAAUAUCACUAAAUGGCCCUCAUCUCUUGGCCAUAUGUGAACUAAUACGCUGGAAAUUUUAAAUCCUUGCCUUUGGCAAAGUGAUUGUUCCUGUCCACUCUGACCACAUUGCAGAUGAAAUAAACACAGACACAUGGAAAGGCAAAGAAUCACUUGCAGAAAUAAUUAAUGACGUCCCAACAAAACUGAAAGAUUCCAGCACAGAUACUGAAGGUAAACUAAUUGAAGAAAUUUUUGACAUGGAUCCCUUUACACUUGAAGAAAAGUAUAGACAGUUACGUCAUUGAAUGUUCCACCCAUGGGAACAUGACAUUGAAAUUGUUGGACAACAAUACUGUGGAAAGCCAUUUAAAAAAAAAAAUGAAAGCCCAUUGGUUUCCUUGGCCGUGCAAGUCUAGGGAAUCAACAAUCCAGUCCCAUCAAACCUGUGAGAUCAAGACGACUCUCCCAUCCCAAACCCCAGUUUGUGUGGAUGCUGUGUAAUCUGCAACCCUGUUACAACUCAGUGCCAAGAAACAACACAGCGCACUACAAACGAAUUAUAUUUAUGAAUCUUAACUAAAAGGGUUAGUAAAGAAAGGGGAAAAAAAAACAAAAAGGGCCCAUUAUAAAAAAAACAGUCAAAAUGUGCACAAGUUGGAGCUCAACUCUUCCCAAAAUUCAUAUUCACCGAUCCUCAGUCGAUCUCAGCGCCUGGCUCCAUUGAAUCACGGUCCCCCACCAGGUCAAAUCUUACGAAUGGUUCUCUCCAGUGUCUUUUCUCUUCAUCUUCCGCCAAACAAAAAAUGCAAGACCAACCUUAGUGUUGCUCACAAAGCCUCUCCCCCAAGUGUUCUCUUGAACCUUCUCCCAGUUUCACCAUCCUAAUUGGGUGACACACAUUCCUCAGCAUCCCUUAUCUUCAACAAUAACCCAAAAGGCUGAAAGCAGAACAGACUGCUCUUACAGAGCUGCUAAAAUGAAAUACCUACAGCAUAGCAGUAAAAAUGUGAACCAGGGUGUUACAUUUAAAAUGAAGACAUCACCAUUAGCCAAAUAAUUUCCUACACUUUCCCUUUAUGGCCAACAAGUAUAUGAACAUACUACAAAGACAGACAUUUCCAUUUCUUCAUUUAUGACCACUAUUCCACUCUAUUGUUAAAUUUCAAGAUGACAUGAAAAUUUCCUGCACUUCUGGAUGACGUUGUAAAUGGUUGAGUGAACCCUUAAUCCGGGCUUUUAUAUGUGCGGAAAAGAUGGAGAGAUGCACUGAAGCAAAACACAAGAUAAAAUGAAAAUGUUUUCCUCCCUGGUCAACCAAAAUUGGCAAGUCAAGUAAGCUUUUCAGAGAUUUUAAUCCCAUAGAUUAUUGCAUCUACCCAGAUUUUCUAUUUGUC